rnacentral:ncRNA from 1 species
UCCUGACAGUCUUAGGACUGACACUAGCCAAGACAGGAGAUAAUAAUG